GGGUUAGUAGGUCGGUCAUGCCAUUGGUAUGUACUGGUCUCACUGACUCCUCCUUCCUGAUGAACCGUAAUGCCAUUAAUUUGGUGUUGCGGGGAAACUGGACUGUUACUUUGAAAAAUUAGAGUGUUUAAAGCAGGCUAACGCUUGAAUACAUUAGCAUGGAAUAAUGAAAUAGGACGUUCGAUCCUAUUUUGUUGGUUUCUAGGAUUGACGUAAUGAU
rnacentral:rRNA from 1 species